rnacentral:rRNA from 1 species
UACGGAGGGUGCAAACGUUGCUCGGAAUCAUUGGGCGUAAAGCGCACGUAGGCGGUUCGUUAAGUCGGAUGGGAAAGCCCUCGGCUCAACCGAGGAAGGGCAUCCGAAACUGGCGUGCUUGAGUAUGGAAGAGGGUCUCGGAAUUCCCGGUGUAGAGGUGAAAUUCGUAAAUAUCGGGAGGAACACCAGUGGCGAAGGCGGAGACCUGGGCCAAUACUGACGCUGAGGUGCGAAAGCGUGGGGAGCAAACAGG